rnacentral:lncRNA from 1 species
AUCACGACCAGUAGCAUUUUGAUUUUUUCUGUUUGGUUAUUUAUAUAAGGUUGAAAAUAUGUACAUUGCAUAUUAUUAUUUGUUUUGACUUUUUCUUCGCUUAAUGAAGUGAAUAAUAAUGUAUUCAAAAUAUUAAUGUGUAAAAGGCUAUGUUAGAUGCAAAUAUAUCGGUGAUAUAAUGAUGAUAGGCAGUUGGGUUGUUCCCUAUUAAUAAUACUGAUAGUUUUGAUUAAUUAAUGUAAGUAUAAAAUAAGACAUAUUAAUUUUCUAGUGAAUAGAUCUAACAACCUUGUUUAAGUAGAUUUUUUAGGUCUCCUUCCUUUUUAAUAGUAUAGAUUAAUUAUUAGAAAAAUCAAAAUAAUACAAAAUCCAACUUAUGGAAAAUAAAAAAUAAAAUAAAAUUGUCGUUAUAAAAAAAAUGUUAAACAACCCUUUGUAGAUCUGUGUUGGAUAAAAUGUCGAUGUCGAGGUAUAUCGCCACAAACUUCUACGAUUAAAAAAAAAGAAAAGAAAUCCGAUGGUGGGGUAUCCGUCUGUCUGAUUAAAAUCCGAUGGCCACACCAUUAACUACUGAAAAAGCCAUCUCAUAUAUCUGAGAAUCGAAAGCUGUACCAGGUUCUAAAAGGCACCAUACACCACCGUCAAGCUAUCACCAUUUUUAUACGGAUCUACAUUGGAGUUAAAAACCACUAGAUAACUGGUGAAUUCUCCAUACCGAUUAGAGAAAGAUGUCCUUCAAACCACUUCAAAAUCUAUGACGGGUCUUUCCACCGUUCUCUAGCAGAGACGAAUGUGAUAAUCCAAAUACUCCUUCAACGAGAGAUCUAAGAUCAUGCACUAUCUCUUCCACCAAAUAUUGCAUCAUCACUCCUAAAGAACAUAAGUAAACUUUUCCUUUUGCUGAAAUAUUGUUAUUAUUAAUUAAAUUUGACAAAAAAAGAAACAUUGGAAAGGAAAUUCUUGCCUGAUACCAACAUGCGUUAGAAUUUUUGAGAGAAAAAAUUGUACGCAUGUGAAACCAACGUGCGUCGAUCUUAUUUAAUAUGUUGAUUAACGAUAAGUAUUUUCGUGUAGU